rnacentral:rRNA from 1 species
UACGAAGGGGGCUAGCGUUGCUCGGAAUCACUGGGCGUAAAGGGUGCGUAGGCGGGUCUUUAAGUCAGGGGUGAAAUCCUGGAGCUCAACUCCAGAACUGCUUUUGAUACUGAGGAUCUUGAGUUCGGGAGAGGUGAGUGGAACUGCGAGUGUAGAGGUGAAAUUCGUAGAUAUUCGCAAGAACACCAGUGGCGAAGGCGGCUCACUGGCCCGAUACUGACGCUGAGGCACGAAAGCGUGGGGAGCAAACAGG